GUACAGUGAGACCAGGAAUGAUAACUCUGGGAAAAGGAAAAUCAGUGAAUAAAGAGACAACUUCAACUAAUGUUGAAUGCCAAAGUGUAAACGUUGAUCGUGUGACAAAUGUAAAUUGAUUCAUGAGGAGAGACUGUGGUUUGGUGCAAAGAAAGUGUUCUGGAAUUGGAAGAUCUGGAUCAGACUCAGGCUCUGUCAGAUAAUGGCUGUAUCAUCUUUGAAAAGCAAAACAAUCUACUAAUGAAAUCAGAAGGAUUUCCAGUGAUGCUGCCCACAUUUCUGUGAAAAAGAGGAAGUUUUUUAAGUCAGAUGGAAGUUACACUUUUUCAAAAAAAAAAAUAUGCAGGGAAGAAUAA
rnacentral:lncRNA from 1 species